rnacentral:rRNA from 1 species
UACAGAGGUCCCGAGCGUUGUUCGGAUUCACUGGGCGUAAAGGGUGCGUAGGUGGCUUGAAAAGUUUGAUGUGAAAGCUCAGGGCUUAACCCUGAAAUGGCAUUGAAUACUGUCGGGCUGGAGGUUUGGAGGGGGGACUGGAAUUCUUGGUGUAGCAGUGAAAUGCGUAGAUAUCAAGAGGAACACCUGCGGCGAAGGCGGGUUGCUGGGCUGACACUGACGCUGAGGCGCGAAAGCCAGGGGAGCGAACGGG